rnacentral:rRNA from 1 species
GGGGAGCUUGCUCCCGGAUGUUAGCGGCGGACGGGUGAGUAACACGUGGGUAACCUGCCUGUAAGACUGGGAUAACUCCGGGAAACCGGAGCUAAUACCGGAUAGUUCCUUGAACCGCAUGGUUCAAGGAUGAAAGACGGUUUCGGCUGUCACUUACAGAUGGACCCGCGGCGCAUUAGCUAGUUGGUGAGGUAACGGCUCACCAAGGCGACGAUGCGUAGCCGACCUGAGAGGGUGAUCGGCCACACUGGGACUGAGACACGGCCCAGACUCCUACGGGAGGCAGCAGUAGGGAAUCUUCCGCAAUGGACGAAAGUCUGACGGAGCAACGCCGCGUGAGUGAUGAAGGUUUUCGGAUCGUAAAGCUCUGUUGUUAGGGAAGAACAAGUGCAAGAGUAACUGCUUGCACCUUGACGGUACCUAACCAGAAAGCCACGGCUAACUACGUGCCAGCAGCCGCGGUAAUACGUAGGUGGCAAGCGUUGUCCGGAAUUAUUGGGCGUAAAGGGCUCGCAGGCGGUUUCUUAAGUCUGAUGUGAAAGCCCCCGGCUCAACCGGGGAGGGUCAUUGGAAACUGGGAAACUUGAGUGCAGAAGAGGAGAGUGGAAUUCCACGUGUAGCGGUGAAAUGCGUAGAGAUGUGGAGGAACACCAGUGGCGAAGGCGACUCUCUGGUCUGUAACUGACGCUGAGGAGCGAAAGCGUGGGGAGCGAACAGGAUUAGAUACCCUGGUAGUCCACGCCGUAAACGAUGAGUGCUAAGUGUUAGGGGGUUUCCGCCCCUUAGUGCUGCAGCUAACGCAUUAAGCACUCCGCCUGGGGAGUACGGUCGCAAGACUGAAACUCAAAGGAAUUGACGGGGGCCCGCACAAGCGGUGGAACAGUUGGUUUAAUUCGAAGCAACGCGAAGAACCUUACCAGGUCUUGACAUCCUCUGACAACCCUAGAGAUAGGGCUUUCCCUUCGGGGACAGAGUGACAGGUGGUGCAUGGUUGUCGUCAGCUCGUGUCGUGAGAUGUUGGGUUAAGUCCCGCAACGAGCGCAACCCUUGAUCUUAGUUGCCAGCAUUCAGUUGGGCACUCUAAGGUGACUGCCGGUGACAAACCGGAGGAAAGGUGGGGGAUGACGUCAAAUCAUCAUGCCCCUUAUGACCUGGGCUACA